rnacentral:rRNA from 1 species
AUUGAACGCUGGCGGCGGGCUUAACACAUGCAAGUCGAGCGAACGGCGGACGGGUGGGUAAUGUCUGGGCAACUGCCUGAUGGAGGGGGAUAACUGCGGGAAACGGUAGCUAAUACCGCAUAACAUCAGAUGUGCCCAGAUGGGAUUAGCUAGUAGGUGGGGUAAUGGCUCACCUAGGCGACGAUGCCUAGCAGGUCUGAGAGGCUGACCAGCCACACUGGAACUGAGACACGGUCCAGACUCCUACGGGAGGCAGCAGUGGGGAAUAUUGGACAAUGGGCGCAAGCCUGAUGCAGCAAUGCCGCGUGUGUGAAGAAGGCCUUCGGGUUGUAAAGCACUGUCAGCGGGGAGGCGUUACCCGCAGAAGAAGCACCGGCUAACUCCGUGCCAGCAGCCGCGGUAAUUC